AACGAACGCUGGCGGCAGGCCUCAAACAUGCAAGUCUAGGGGGUGUAGCAAUACAUCACCGGCGGACGGGUGCGUAACGCGUGGGAAUAUACCUAUCGAUUCGGAACAACUGAGGGAAACUUCAGCUAAUACCGAAUACGUCCUAACGGAGAAAGAUUUAUCGUCGAUAGAUUAGCCCGCGUUCGAUUAGCUAGUUGGUGGGGUAACGGCCCACCAAGGCGACGAUCGAUAGCUGUUCUGAGAGGAAGAUCAGCCACACUGGGACUGAGACACGGCCCAGACUCCUACGGGAGGCAGCAGUUGGGAAUCUUGGACAAUGGGGGGAAACCCUGAUCCAGCCAUGCCGCGUGAGUGAUGAAGGCCUUCGGGUUGGUAAAACUACUUUCGUCGCACGACGAUAAUGACGGUAGUGCGAGAAGAAGCUCCGGCUAACUUACGUGCCAGCAGCCGCGGUAAU
rnacentral:rRNA from 1 species